GCCCGGUUAGCUCAGUCGGUAAAGCAUGGGACUCUUGAUCCCAGGGUCGUGGGUUCGAGCCCCACAUUGGGCG
rfam:Strongylocentrotus purpuratus Contig107031_fixed, whole genome shotgun sequence.